UGAAUAACUGCAGUCUAAUGCAACAGCUGGAGUUGUAACAUCUGUCCUGAUAUUGAUCAUGAAGUAUUGAUCAGAAUACUUAUGGUUAGCAGUCAUCCCUGAAGUUUUACAUUAAAAUCUUUACUUGUGUUGUGAACUUUGGUAAGAAGCAGAAACGUUAGCGUUGCCAUGGAUACAUGAGUGUUAAAUUCUGUCCAUGUUUCCAUUUUGGGAAAUGCAGUCCAGUUCCAGAAUGUGGAGGAAUUUAGUCUCACAAUCACAGACAACAAAUAUUAUCUGAAAGUCAGGUUAUUGUUGUUUAUCAGCACAAUACAAAAAGAUUAAUGUUAGAAAUAUUCCAGUUCAGACUCUAGAAUAUGAUGAUUUAUGUAAAUUUACCUCAAUAAUAUGAAUGUUCAGGUUAAGAUUGUACAGUGAUAUUUAUUAUGCAAGUUUAGCUGAUUAAAGUUUAUGACUCUGCACUAAAAUAUUAUUUAAAUUGGCAUCAUUAUUAUAAUAUUUAGGGUCAGACCCUACAGUAUUGAGAUUAAGAAAUCAAAUAUUCUAUAAAAUGUAAAUACACUGAACUCAUUUGGAUAUAUUUGAGACUCUACAAUAUUAUUUGACACAAAUCUAAAUCAAAAUUUUAAUAAUUUUCACGCCAAACAUUUACUGGACUGAUUUAAAUAUUAAAAUCACUCCUUUCCAAUCCUCUGCUGUACGUUCAAACCUGAGGCCUUAAAUAGAAACACACAAGUAUCUGAUUGAAGGAACUUCUGCAGAGUCCUGGUUCCAGAACAUGAUGAUAGAAUUAUAGACAAACUUUAACAAAAGCUGCCUGAGAGUUUACAGGUUUUUAUGUUGGAUUUCUUCAGUAAUUUAAAGAGAGUUAUCAGCAAAAAUCAAGUGUUCAUUUGAUGAACUUCAUUUCCUAAAACAUCCAGACUUGGAGCUCAUAUCUUUGGCAGCUGUAAAGUUUCUGCUCCUUCAAAGUUGACAACACAAUGAAUGAAUUCCUAAAACACUCUCAAUGCUGGAGAGCAUUUGAUGCUGAAGCAGUGACCAGUUUUUCUGUUUCUUCUCUGGAGAUGCACAAUGAGGGACGUCUGCAGAGACUGAGAAAGAGUCUCACCACAUCCUGACAUGAGGAAAAAGACUUUAUUGAAGACUACAAUGAGAAAAACUAUCAGACAGCAGACGGCUGCAUUCAAGAGAAGAAGACCAUCAAACAUCCACGUCAGCUGAUGGAGGUCCAAGAGUCUCACUGAACAACCAACCUACAGAGUGAAGACCUCAAAUCUGAUUGGACGGCCUCCUAUUCAGCCACAUUUUAGGCUGUUAGAUUGUUCCAGAUAAGACAAGUACAAGAUUCUUCAGAGCCGUUCUACCACGAGCCUGACAGGAAGAACUCCAACAGCUACUGAAUGUUCCUGUGGUUCCCUCAAGGCUACAGGAGGAGUCCUACGAGGACGAGCCGGUCCACCUGAUGGCGGCCAGUCGCUGCGGUUCAAAGCCAACACCGACUACGUGGACUUCUACUGGACCACAUGGAGGCCUUCAAACCGGACCAACAAGUUCAGCGACUCCCCGACUCGUGGGUCUGAGGACACCGCCGAGCCUCGGUCCAGCCGGCCUCCUGUCUGUGGGUGUUUGAGUGCUGAGAGGUUUGUGGAUGCACGUGAACGUUCUGUGUUGAAACAGCAGCUUUGGACUCAGUAACGCCAGGAAAAACCAAGAGCUCCUUUAUUUGUGACUUCCACUAAAAAA
ensembl:lncRNA